AUGCGCUAUGAUGAGCGGUACACACCUUAUGUUAGGGAGGCGGGACUUCUCCCUUUCAUUGAGUUGGUCCGCCGGUCGACGCCACCCAACAAUGUUGCAGCACUCACCGCGCUUAUUGAUCAUUGGAGGCCGGAGACACACACUUUCCAUCUUCGGACCGGGGAGAUGACCGUGACGCUGCAGGAUAUUGCUAUGAUCACCGGUCUUCCUAUCGAUGGCAAUCCUUUAUGUAUGAACACCGAUUCUGAAGGGUGGCGCGCGCAGAUGCAAGCCCUUAUCGGUAUGGUUCCUCCGGAGCCUCGGGAGCCAGAAGCAGAACAUAAGAAGAAGGAAAGAGUCGCAGCGGGCGCUACUUUCACGUGGAUAUCAUCGAACUUCUGUCAUUGCCCCGAUGAUGCUAAUGAGGACAUGGUGAAGACAUAUGCUCGUGUCUACAUGUGGUACGUGAUAUCGAGGACAAUGUUUGCUGAUGGCACAGGCAAGAAUGCUCCAUGGAUGUGGCUGAAGGCGUUGACCGUCUUCGAUAGCAAAUGGAGUUGGGGUUCAGCGACACUAGCUUACUUGUAUCGACAGGUAUGA
rnacentral:rRNA from 1 species